GACGAACGCUGGCGGCGUGCCUAAUACAUGCAAGUAGAACGCUGAAGGAGGAGCUUGCUUCUCUGGAUGAGUUGCGAACGGGUGAGUAACGCGUAGGUAACCUGCCUGGUAGCGGGGGAUAACUAUUGGAAACGAUAGCUAAUACCGCAUAAUAGUAGAUGUUGCAUGACAUUUGCUUAAAAGGUGCAAUUGCAUCACUACCAGAUGGACCUGCGUUGUAUUAGCUAGUUGGUGGGGUAACGGCUCACCAAGGCGACGAUACAUAGCCGACCUGGGAGGGGGAUCGGCCACACUGGGACUGAGACACGGCCCAGACUCCUUCGGGGGGGAGCAGUAGGGAAUCUUCGGCAAUGGACGGAAGGCUGACCGAGCAACGCCGCGGGAGGGGAGAAGGUUUUCGGAUCGGAAAGCUCUGGUUUAAGGGAAGAACGAGUGUGAGAGUGGAAAGUUCACGUUGUGACGGUAUCUUACCAGAAAGGGACGGCUAACUACGUG
rnacentral:rRNA from 1 species